UUUGCUCUCGUCGGCGCUGGCGUUGCUGGCAACAGGUGCUCUCGGGGAUUGAUUAUUAGCUCAUUAUAAAAGCAUUUCGGAGCGGUUCGAUUCGCCGUUGCUGAAAAGCAUUUCAAUUGCCUCCGACACUCGCACAUUUAGAAAUGCGUUCCUCCCCGGCAGAGAGGAGCUAUUAGGGGGCUCUAGGCGGCCCCUCAAGACACGUGUUAGGUGGCAAUUUUUGGCAAUCAAAUUCCUAGGAAAUCCAUUACCCAUAAAUGUUAAAUUUUCCCCUAAAUUCCACCGCCUGAAUGACCCUUGUAAAAACACUGUGAAAUGCAAAUUUAAUUUGCUAAAUGAUUCGCCCAGGCAGACAGAUCUGGGAAACUUGUUUUGCUUAAUGAGAAUUUUGUCUACCACUUGCCCACUUGUUUGCCCGUGUUGGACAGUGACGGUCCCCCGAUGUGCAAUGGCCACGACUGUCCCACAAGGUGUCGGGUGCAACUGGCCUGAAGCUUAUUCGCAUAUGCGAGUACAUCCGUUUUGAAAAUGCCAGCUAAUAUUUCUGCAAUGAUAUAAUAAUAAAACUGCAAAGAAUUCAAGUAAUA